AACUCUUGAAGGUGGACCACUUGGCUUGUGCGUUGAUGAAGGACGCAGCUAGCUGCGAGAACUAAUGUGAAUUGCAAAACACAUUGAUCAUCGACAAUUCGAACACACCUUGUUGCCUCGGGUCUUUCCCAGGACCACACCUGUUUGAAGGUCA